CGACGGCUUCGGCCUCGCCGCCGCCCCGGCUCCCCCGCGCCCGGCGCAGGGCGUCCCGUGCCGGGGGCGGGCGAGGCUGCCGAGAGCGCUCGGCCUCUGCGCCCCCGGCAGCGCAGCAGCCAGGCAGAACUGAGAUCUGAGACAGAGACAUCUUCAAAAGAGGAAUUUCAGAAGUCUGCUCUGCAGCCGGGAUGCUGACAAUGUUCAGAGUUGAUGCUGUGGAAGAUGAUCAAUGUAGGCCAAGCCCAGAGAGAUUCCACGCUCCACUCAUGGCAAACACCUCUCUGGAGCAGCUCGGAUACCUUGUGCUGCAAUAGGUGAAGAUGGCUAAUUACAAACCACACAGACAGACAGUGAAGACUGCACACUCCACCGAGAGACCAAGAUACAGGCUACAGUUUUUCAAAAGGAGGAAGAAGAUAAAGCUUCUUCUUCUUCAUAAGAAGAAAAUGUUAUAAAAAUCAGUCAUAGAUUCAGCGUGUGGAGCAAUGGCCUCCAUUAAUCCCUCUCCUGCAUCCUUGUGCUGUAGCCGUGGAACCUCAUCCAUUACUGCCAUGCUGUGGGUCCACGUUAGUCCCUCAGCUCAGGGUGCUGGUUGGAGGGAGCUGGAUGCUGCAGAAAGCAAACAUAUCCUGGAGACCUGCCUAUGAAACACAGGACCUAGCACAGGCUGAGAGAGAAAACUGGUUCCCUUUGGAUUGUGCAUACUUCUGAGGGGAAUGAAUUUGGUACAGAGGACUAAUUGGAUGAGACACUGGUAAGACUUCAACGUUGUGAGUAGAAACAAAAAUCUCAGUGGAACAGUACAAUAAUUAUUUAAACUUUUUAAAUUAUAAUUUUUAAUGAAGAAAAAUAGAACCCUUCAGCCAAAGGAAAUUUUACAGCAGUGAUUGCUCUGACACGAGCAGCAGACAAUAAGGGAGGUGCCAGCCCAGGAAAAUGUUUGUGGAGCCAUUGACACGCAUGGGAAGAUAAAAACUAAAAAUCCAAGUGAACUCGCUGGCAUAAUAGUAGACAAUAUUGCAGCUGAUGACAAUAAAGCUCCCACUAAUACUUCAGUAGGAAAAGGUGCCAAUAAAGAGCUUAUUGAAAAGCA